rnacentral:rRNA from 1 species
AUUGAACGCUGGCGGCAUGCUUUACACAUGCAAGUCGAACGGUAGAGGGGGCAACCCCUUGAGAGUGGCGAACGGGUGAGUAAUGCAUCGGAACGUGCCCAGUCGUGGGGCAACUUGGGGAAACUCAAGCUAAUACCGCAUAAGUUCUUAGGAAGAAAGCUGGGGACCGAACGGCCUGGCGCUUUAAGAUUAGCCUGCGUCCGAUUAGCUAGUUGGUAGGGUAAAGGCCGACCAAGGCGACGAUCGGUAGCUGGUCUGAGAGGAUGGCCAGCCACACUGGAACUGAGACACGGGCCAGACUCCUACGGGAGGCAGCAGUAGGGAAUAUUGGACAAUGGGGGGAACCCUGAUCCAGCAAUGCCGCGUGUGUGAAGAAGGCCUGAGGGUUGUAAAGCACUUUUAGUGGGGAGGAGUUGUUAUAGGUUAAGAGCUAAUAAUGAGGACGUUACCCACAGAAAAAGCACCGGCUAACUCCGUGCCAGCAGCCGCCGUAA